AGAGUUUGAUCAUGGCUCAGGAUGAACGCUGGCGGCGUGCCUAAUACAUGCAAGUAGAACGCUGAAGCUUGGUGCUUGCACCGAGCGGAUGAGUUGCGAACGGGUGAGUAACGCGUAGGUAACCUGCCUCUUAGCGGGGGAUAACUAUUGGAAACGAUAGCUAAUACCGCAUAAAAGUCGACAUCGCAUGAUGUUGACUUGAAAGGUGCAAUUGCAUCACUAAGAGAUGGACCUGCGUUGUAUUAGCUAGUUGGUGAGGUAACGGCUCACCAAGGCGACGAUACAUAGCCGACCUGAGAGGGUGAUCGGCCACACUGGGACUGAGACACGGCCCAGACUCCUACGGGAGGCAGCAGUAGGGAAUCUUCGGCAAUGGGGGCAACCCUGACCGAGCAACGCCGCGUGAGUGAAGAAGGUUUUCGGAUCGUAAAGCUCUGUUGUAAGAGAAGAACGAGUGUGAGAGUGGAAAGUUCACACUGUGACGGUAACUUACCAGAAAGGGACGGCUAACUACGUGCCAGCAGCCGCGGUAAUAC
rnacentral:rRNA from 1 species